rnacentral:rRNA from 1 species
GAUGAACGCUGGCGGCGUGGCUUAACACAUGCAAGUCGAACGAAGCACUUAAACUUGAUUUCUUCGGAUUGAUUGUUCUGUGACUGAGUGGCGGACGGGUGAGUAACGCGUGGGUAACCUGCCUCAUACAGGGGGAUAACAGUUGGAAACGACUGCUAAUACCGCAUAAGCGCACGGUAUCGCAUGAUACAGUGUGAAAAACUCCGGUGGUAUGAGAUGGACCCGCGUCUGAUUAGCUAGUUGGUGGGGUAACGGCCUACCAAGGCGACGAUCAGUAGCCGACCUGAGAGGGCGACCGGCCACACUGGGACUGAGACACGGCCCAG